rnacentral:rRNA from 1 species
AUUGAACGCUGGCGGCAGGCCUAACACAUGCAAGUCGAGCGGAUGAUUGGAGCUUGCUCCAUGAUUCAGCGGCGGACGGGUGAGUAAUGCCUAGGGAUCUGCCUGGUAGUGGGGGACAACGUUUCGAAAGGAACGCUAAUACCGCAUACGUCCUACGGGAGAAAGCGGGGGACCUUCGGGCCUUGCGCUAUCAGAUGAGCCUAGGUCGGAUCAGCUAGUAGGUGAGGUAAUGGCUCACCUAGGCGACGAUCCGUAACUGGUCUGAGAGGAUGAUCAGUCACACUGGAACUGAGACACGGUCCAGACUCCUACGGGAGGCAGCAGUGGGGAAUAUUGGACAAUGGGCGAAAGCCUGAUCCAGCCAUGCCGCGUGUGUGAAGAAGGUCUUCGGAUUGUAAAGCACUUUAAGUUGGGAGGAAGGGCAGUAAGUUAAUACCUUGCUGUUUUGACGUUACCAACAGAAUAAGCACCGGCUAACUUCGUGCCAGCCGCCGCCGUAAUAC